UAGGGAAUCUUCCACAAUGGACGCAAGUCUGAUGGAGCAACGGCCGCGUGAGUGAAGAAGGUUUUCGGACCGUAAAGCUCUGUUGUUGGUGAAGAAGGAUAGAGGUAGUAACUGGCCCUUUAUUUGACGGUAAUCAACCAGAAAGUCACGGCUAACUACGUGCCAGCAGCCGCGGUAAUACGUAGGUGGCAAGCGUUGUCCGGAUUUAUUGGGCGUAAAGCGAGCGCAGGCGGAAGAAUAAGUCUGAUGUGAAAGCCCUCGGCUUAACCGAGGAAUUGCAUCGGAAACUGUUUUCUUGAGUGCAGAAGAGGAGAGUAGAACUCCAUGUGUAGCGGUGGAAUGCGUAGAUAUAUGGAAGAAUACCAGUGGCGAAGGCGGCUCUCUGGUCUGCAACUGACGCUGAGGCUCGAAAGCAUGGGUAGCGAACAGGAUUAGAUACCCUGGUAGUCCAUGCCGUAAACGAUGAGUGCUAAGUGUUGGGAGGCUUCCGCCUCUCAGUGCUGCAGCUAACGCAUUAAGCACUCCGCCUGGGGGAGUACGACCGCAAGG
rnacentral:rRNA from 1 species